rnacentral:rRNA from 1 species
UACGGGGGGGGCAAGCGUUGUUCGGAAUUACUGGGCGUAAAGGGUUUGUAGGUGGCUUGCUAAGUCAGACGUGAAAUCCCUCAGCUUAACUGGGGAACUGCGUCUGAUACUGGUGAGCUUGAGUGCAGGAGAGGAACGCGGAAUUCCAGGUGUAGCGGUGAAAUGCGUAGAUAUCUGGAGGAACACCGGUGGCGAAGGCGGCGUUCUGGACUGCAACUGACACUGAUAGACGAAAGCCAGGGUAGCAAACGGG